rfam:Aedes albopictus isolate Foshan contig49506, whole genome shotgun sequence.
UGCCCAGCAACUCCUAUCGCUACCUCCUCGCGGUACCGGCCGGAAACUAUGAGCAAUCUUAGGAAAGAUCGGGUAACCAACCCCGGUGGGAACUUUGGUCGUAGGCUGACAGGGAAGG